rnacentral:rRNA from 1 species
CCCGUUCGCCGAAAGACCAAGGGUUCCAGUCCAACGUUAAUCGGGGCUGGGUGAGUCGACCCCUAAGGCGAGGCCGAAAGGCGUAGUCGAUGGGAAAUUGGUUAAUAUUCCAAUACUUCUGUGUAAUGCGAUGAGAGGACGGAGAAGGUUAAGUCAGCCUGGCGUUGGUUGUCCAGGUGGAAGGAUGUAGGUAUGUAUCUUAGGCAAAUCCGGGGUACUCUAUACUGAGAUCCGAUAGCAAGCUGUACUUGUACAGUGAAGUGGCUGAUACCAUGCUUCCAGGAAAAGUCUCUAAGCUUCAGUUACACAGGAAUCGUACCCGAAACCGACACAGGUGGUCAG